CGCGGGAAUGACGUCAAUUGGCGGAAAUCCCGCCAAGAUUCAAAUCUGUGGGCGCGGAUUGCCGUGAGCGAGACAGCGGAUACAAACACGACGAUUAUCAACAGAAAUAUCUUUAUUUUCUGCUUGCAACUGGACCGUCUAGAGCGUACACGGUUCCACGGUGUUCUUUGGCUGUAUGUUUUCCACUG